rnacentral:rRNA from 1 species
UACAGAGGGUGCGAGCGUUAAUCGGAGUUACUGGGCGUAAAGGGCGCGUAGGCGGUUAUUUAAGUGAGAUGUGAAAUCCCUGGGCUUAACCUAGGAACUGCAUCUCAUACUGGAUAGCUAGAGUAUUGUAGAGGGUAGUGGAAUUUCCGGUGUAGCGGUGAAAUGCGUAGAGAUCGGAAGGAACACCAGUGGCGAAGGCGGCUACCUGGACAAAUACUGACGCUGAGGCGCGAAAGCGUGGGGAGCAAACAGG